AAGCAACUAGUGUGCCCACAGCCUAUGUAAUGGAUGGAGAUAAAAUCACUUGAAUCCAGUAUGAUCUUGACUCAAGAGUUAUGGCAGUACCUACUGAGUUAUCUCAGGAACUGGAUUGUCCUGUUAUUUUGGAUUCUCUUCAGUUUUUACAACCUGGGGAUGUGGACAAGAUUCUCUUCAGCAUUUAAGAUGGCUGCUGAAGAACCAUCUUUUUAUACAAGCAUUUGGCUAAAUUUCUACUCUGUAUUUUGGUAUUUUUAAG